rnacentral:rRNA from 1 species
AGUCAAGUAAUUAAGUGCAUGUGGUGGAUGCCUUGGCAGUCAGAGGCGAUGAAAGACGUGAUAGCCUGCGAAAAGCUCCGGGGAGGCGGCAAAUAUCCUUUGAUCCGGAGAUGUCUGAAUGGGGGAACCCACCUACUUUAAGGUAGGUAUUGCAACAUGAAUACAUAGUGUUGCAAGGCGAACGAGGGGAAGUGAAACAUCUCAGUACCCUUAGGAAAAGAAAUCAAUUGAGAUUCCCUCAGUAGCGGCGAGCGAACGGGGAUCAGCCCAUUAAGUUAUGUGUGUUUUAGUGGGACGCUCUGGGAAGUGCGAACGUAGAGGGUGAUAUUCCCGUACACGAAAGGGCACACAUAAUGAUGACGAGUAGGGCGAGGCACGUGAAACCUUGUCUGAAUAUGGGGGGACCAUCCUCCAAGGCUAAAUACUCCUGACUGACCGAUAGUGAACCAGUACCGUGAGGGAAAGGCGAAAAGAACCCCUGUGAGGGGAGUGAAAUAGAUCCUGAAACCGCAUGCAUACAAGCAGUGGGAGCACCUUCGUGGUGUGACUGCGUACCUUUUGUAUAAUGGGUCAGCGACUUAUAUUCAGUAGCGAGGUUAACCGUAUAGGGGAGCCGUAGAGAAAUCGAGUCUUAAUAGGGCGUUUAGUUGCUGGGUAUAGACCCGAAACCAGGCGAUCUAUCCAUGAGCAGGUUGAAGGUUGGGUAACACUAACUGGAGGACCGAACCCACUGUCGUUGAAAAGCCAGGGGAUGACUUGUGGAUAGGGGUGAAAGGCUAAUCAAGCCUGGUGAUAGCUGGUUCUCCCCGAAAGCUAUUUAGGUAGCGCCUCGGACGAAUACCAUAGGGGGUAGAGCACUGUUUCGGCUAGGGGGUCAUCCCGACUUACCAAACCGAUGCAAACUCCGAAUACCUAUGAGUACUAUCCGGGAGACAGACUGCGGGUGCUAACGUCCGUAGUCAAGAGGAAAACAAUCCAGACCGCCAGCUAAGGCCCCAAAAUCAUAGUUAAGUGGGAAACGAUGUGGGAAGGCAUAGACAGCUAGGAGGUUGGCUUAGAAGCAGCCACCCUUUAAAGAAAGCGUAAUAGCUCACUAGUCGAGUCGGCCUGCGCGGAAGAUGUAACGGGGCUAAAACUAUGUGCCGAAGCUGCGGAUGUAUACUUUGUAUACGUGGUAGGGGAGCGUUCUGUAAGCCGAUGAAGGUGUGUUGAGAAGCAUGCUGGAGGUAUCAGAAGUGCGAAUGCUGACGUGAGUAACGACAAAACGGGUGAAAAACCCGUUCGCCGAAAGACCAAGGGUUCCAGUCCAACGUUAAUCGGGGCUGGGUGAGUCGACCCCUAAGGCGAGGCCGAAAGGCGUAGUCGAUGGGAAAAUGGUUAAUAUUCCAUUACUUCUGUGUAAUGCGAUGAGAGGACGGAGAAGGCUAAAUCAGCCUGGCGUUGGUUGUCCAGGUGAAAGGAUGUAGGCAUGUAUCUUAGGCAAAUCCGGGGUACUCUAUGCUGAGAUCUGAUAGCAAGCUGUACUUGUACAGCGAAGUGGUUGAUGCCAUGCUUCCAGGAAAAGUCUCUAAGCUUCAGUUACACAGGAAUCGUACCCGAAACCGACACAGGUGGUCAGGUCGAGUAGACCAAGGCGCUUGAGAGAACUCUGCUGAAGGAACUAGGCAAAAUGGUACCGUAACUUCGGGAGAAGGUACGCUGUUGUUGGUGAUGGAACUCGCUUCCUGAGCUGACGACAGCCGCAGAAACCAGGCCGCUGCAACUGUUUAUUAAAAACAUAGCACUCUGCAAACACGAAAGUGGACGUAUAGGGUGUGAUGCCUGCCCGGUGCUGGAAGGUUAAUUGAUGGGGUUAGCGUAAGCGAAGCUCUUGAUCGAAGCCCCAGUAAACGGCGGCCGUAACUAUAACGGUCCUAAGGUAGCGAAAUUCCUUGUCGGGUAAGUUCCGACCUGCACGAAUGGCAUAAUGAUGGCGGCGCUGUCUCCAGCAGAGGCUCAGUGAAAUCGAAAUCGCUGUGAAGAUGCAGUGUACCCGCGGCUAGACGGAAAGACCCCGUGAACCUUUACUGCAGCUUGACACUGAACUUUGACCUUACUUGUGUAGGAUAGGUGGGAGGCUUUGAAGCUGGAACGCUAGUUCCAGUGGAGCCGUCCUUGAAAUACCACCCUGGUAAUGUUGAGGUUCUAACUCUGUCCCGUGAUCCGGGACGAGGACCGUGUCUGGUGGGUAGUUUGACUGGGGCGGUCUCCUCCUAAAGAGUAACGGAGGAGUACGAAGGUGCGCUCAGCGUGGUCGGAAAUCACGCGUAGAGUAUAAAGGCAAAAGCGCGCUUAACUGCGAGACCCACAAGUCGAGCAGGUACGAAAGUAGGUCUUAGUGAUCCGGUGGUUCUGUAUGGAAGGGCCAUCGCUCAACGGAUAAAAGGUACUCUGGGGAUAACAGGCUGAUACCGCCCAAGAGUUCAUAUCGACGGCGGUGUUUGGCACCUCGAUGUCGGCUCAUCUCAUCCUGGGGCUGAAGCAGGUCCCAAGGGUAUGGCUGUUCGCCAUUUAAAGAGGUACGCGAGCUGGGUUUAGAACGUCGUGAGACAGUUCGGUCCCUAUCUACCGUGGGCGCUGGAAAUUUGAGAGGAUCUGCUCCUAGUACGAGAGGACCAGAGUGGACGAACCUCUGGUGUACCGGUUGUGACGCCAGUCGCAUCGCCGGGUAGCUAUGUUCGGAAGGGAUAACCGCUGAAAGCAUCUAAGCGGGAAGCCUACCUCAAGAUAAGAUUUCCCUAGGACUUUAUGUCCUCUAAAGAGCCGUUCGAGACUAGGACGUUGAUAGGUUGGAUGUGGAAGCAUAGUGAUAUGUGAAGCUGACCAAUACUAAUUGCUCGUGAGGCUUGACUAU